rnacentral:piRNA from 1 species
UGGUUUUGCUAUAUUACUACA